GACGUAGGGCGCGAGCGUUGUCCGGAUUUAUUGGGCGUAAAGAGCUCGUAGGCGGCUUGUCGCGUCGUCCGUGAAAACCCACAGCUCAACUGUGGGCUUGCGGUCGAUACGGGCAGGCUAGAGUUCGGUAGGGGAGACUGGAAUUCCUGGUGUAGCGGUGAAAUGCGCAGAUAUCAGGAGGAACACCGGUGGCGAAGGCGGAUCUCUGGGCCAUUACUGACGCUGAGGAGCGAAAGCGUGGGGAGCAAACAGG
rnacentral:rRNA from 1 species